CAGAACGACUCAGCGACUGUCUUGAACCUUUGCCCGGCGAAAUUGAAAUGGCUGUGAAGAUGCGGCCUACUUGCACAAGGACGAAGAGACCCCAGAAGCUUUACUGUAACUUAACAUUGGCAAAAUUGUGAGAAUUGUCGAGAAUAGGAGGGAGUCUUCGGACAUUAGUGGAAUACCUCUCUUUCUUAUUAUUGAGUCUAACUCUAUAUUAUUAGGGAACAUUGUUUGGUGGGCAGUUUGGUUGGGGUGACCGCCACCUAAAGAGUAACGGUGGCGUACAAAGGUCGGCUUAGCGCGGAUGGAAAUCGCGUGUUAUGUGUAAAGGCAUAAGCCGGCUUAACUGUGAGACGGACAAGUCGAGCAGAUGCGAAAGCAGGUCUUAGUGAUCCUCGAUUCCACUGUGGUUGUGGAACGAGCUUAACGGAUAAAAGCUACUCUGGGGAUAACAGGUUGGUCUCCUCCAAGAGUUCAUAUCGACGAGGAGGUUCGACACCUCGAUGUCGGCUCAGCGUAUCCUGGGGGUGAAGAAGCCCCCAAGGGUUGGUCUGUUCGCCCAUUAAAACGCUACGCGAGCUGGGUUCAAACCGUCGUAAGACAGGUUGGUCUCUAUCCGGUGCAAGCGCAUUGAUACUUGAAGGGAUUUGACUCUAGUACGAGAGGACCGAGUUGAAUGAAUCCCUGGUGUACCAGUUGUUGGGGAUCGCUCCGGCACCGCUGGGUAGCUAUAUUCAUUUAGGAUAAGCGCUGAAAGCAUAUUAAGCGCGAAGCCCUCCCUAAGAUAAGGUAUCUUUAAGACUCCUGUAAGAUUAACAGGUUGAUAGGCUCUAGGUGUAAGUUCCGUGAGGAAUUCAGCCGAGGAGUACUAAUAGUCAUAAUCUAUCAUAU
rnacentral:rRNA from 1 species